AGUGAACGCUGGCGGUAGGCCUAACACAUGCAAGUCGAACGGCAGCACAGUAAGAGCUUGCUCUUACGGGUGGCGAGUGGCGGACGGGUGAGGAAUACAUCGGAAUCUACUUUUUCGUGGGGGAUAACGUAGGGAAACUUACGCUAAUACCGCAUACGACCUACGGGUGAAAGCAGGGGAUCUUCGGACCUUGCGCGAUUGAAUGAGCCGAUGUCGGAUUAGCUAGCUGGCGGGGUAAAGGCCCACCAAGGCGACGAUCCGUAGCUGGUCUGAGAGGAUGAUCAGCCACACUGGAACUGAGACACGGUCCAGACUCCUACGGGAGGCAGCAGUGGGGAAUAUUGGACAAUGGGCGCAAGCCUGAUCCAGCCAUACCGCGUGGGUGAAGAAGGCCUUCGGGUUGUAAAGCCCUUUUGUUGGGAAAGAAAAGCAGCAGGUUAAUACCCCGCUGUUCUGACGGUACCCAAAGAGUAAGCACCGGCUAACUUCGUG
rnacentral:rRNA from 1 species